GCCUGAUUAGCACAGGGGUAAUGCGUUGCACUCGUAAUGCAAAGAUCACUGGUUCGAUUCCAGUAUCAGGCA
rnacentral:tRNA from 1 species